rnacentral:sRNA from 1 species
UGCUUUCAGAAUAGCCUGCAUCUCCGCC